GACUGACCUCUGUCCCAAUACCCAACCUGAUGACUGACCUCUCUUUCCCAGUAGCAUACCUGAUGACUGACCUCUGGCCCAAUACCCAACCUGAUUACUGACCUUUCUUUCCCAGUAACAUACCUGAUGACUGACCUCUGGCCCAAUACCCAACCUGAUUACUGACCUCUCUUUCCCAGUAACAUACCUGAUGACUGACCUCUGUCCCAAUACCCAACCUGAUGCACUAGGUAGUGUGAAGCAAAGUGUUGGCCAUGCAUACUAAGUAGUGUGCGUAUUGGGACACUAGGCCAUAUCACCACCACAAAAAGCUUUGUCUUUUUAAAACCUGUUUGAUUGAACUUUAUGCACUCUAUUCCCUAUGUAGUGCACUACUUUAGACCUGAGCCCCUAUAGGCAAUAGGGUGGUAUUUGGUUUGCACACUUAUUUAGCCUGGGGAAGUCACAUCAAAGUUCAGCAUCUCUUGUUCAAGAUAAGGGUUUACACUAACUGAGUUUCAGAUCUGAUCUAGGAUCAGGUCCACCUUUAAUGAAUCAGAUUAAAUGGACAAGGACCUGUUCCUAGAUCAACAAUCCUACUGAUCUAGGAUCAGUUUAAUGAAUCAGAUGAAAUGGACAGGGACCUGGUCCUAGAUCAACACUCCUACUGAUCUAGGAUCAGUUCAGCCUUGAAUGAAUCAGAUGAAAUGGACAGGGACCUGGUCCUAGAUCAACACCUCUGUUGAUCCGGGAUCAGUUUAAUGAAUCAGAUUAAAUGGACGGGGGACUUGGUCCUAGAUCAACACCUCUGUUGAUCAGGGAUCAGUUUAAUGAAUCAGAUUAAAUGGACGGGGGACCUGGUCCUAGAUCAAAACUCCUACUCUGUGAAUAUGGUUCCAGGGAUAUAGUUUACAAAAUCUGAUUUCUAGGAUAAUAUUUAUUUACGUGGAAUACUAUAGGAUGUAGGGGUAGGGUGCCAUAUUGGAAGGACUGUGUCACAUUCAACAAAAAUAAAAGGUGCCUCUGUGUUGCCCGUAUCACAUACACGCUGUGUCCAAAACGUCACACUCUUCCCUACAUAGGCCACUACGUCAUUCCCUUAAAUAUAUAGUGUACCACUUUUUUAAACUGGUCAAACCGAAAUGGCAACCCGUUCACUACACAGUGCCCCAGUGCACUACUUUAGACCAGGGCUGUAGGGACCUAUUGGAAUAGGGUUUCAGACCAGGGCCCCAGUGCACUACUUUAGACCAGGGCCGUAGGGACCUGUUUGAAUAGGGUUUCGGACCUGGGCCGUAGUGACCUAUUUGAAUAGGGUUUCAGACCAGGGCCGUAGGGACCUAUUGGAAUAGGGUUUCAGACCAGGGCCGUAGGGACCUAUUGGAAUACGGUUUCAGACCAGGGCCGUAGGGACCUAUUGGAAUAGGGUUUCAGACCAGGGCCGUAGGGCACUAUUUGAAUAGGGUUUCAGACCAGGGCCGUAGGGACUUAUUUGAAUAGGGUUUCAGACCAGGGCCGUAGGGCACUAUUUGAAUAGGGUUUCAGACCAGGGCCGUAGGGACCUAUUUGAAUAGGGUUUCAGACCAGGGCCGUAGGGACCUAUUUGAAUAGGGUUUCAGACCAGGGCCGUAGGGACCUAUUUGAAUAGGGUUUCAGACCAGGGCCGUAGGGACCUAUUUGAAUAGGGUUUCAGACCAGGGCCGUAGGGACCUAUUUGAAUAGGGUUUCAGACCAGGGCCGUAGGGACCUAUUUGAAUAGGGUUUCAGACCAGGGCCGUAGGGACCUAUUUGAAUAGGGUUUCAGACCAGGGCCGUAGGGACCUAUUUGAAUAGGGUUUCAGACCAGGGCCGUAGGGACCUAUUUGAAUAGGGUUUCAGACCAGGGCCGUAGGGACCUAUUUGAAUAGGGUUUCAGACCAGGGCCGUAGGGACCUAUUGGAAUAGGGUUUCAGACUGUUGGAACUAGUAACAUAAGCAUUUUGCUGCACCUGCUAUAACACUUCCAAAUCUGUGCAAGCAACCAAUACACUUUGGUUGAUUUGGAAAGUAGUGCACUAUAAUAGGGAAUAGGGUUCCAUAGGGCCCUGGUCUAAAGUAGUUCACUAUAUAUAGGGAAUAGGGUGCCAUAGGGCUCUGGUCUAUAGUAGUGCCCUAUAUAGGGAAUAGGGUGCCAUAGGGCUCUGGUCUAUAGUAGUGCCCUAUAUAGGGAGCCGUUUCAGGCGCUGCCAGAGUCUUCAAAGCCCAUGUCCCCCAGAGGGUUUCUGAAGGGUAGGUCCAGGAGUUUUUCCUGACCCCUCUGUAACCUGCAGGAUAAACUCUAUGCCAUAGAACGGACCUCCCAAUUCAAGUCAAUAAUGGCAUACUGGGUGUAGAGGUUCCAUUUUUAUAUUCCAGGCCUGACCGAUAAAGAGCUGUUGGCUAUAUGUUUUCCUUUUUCAAAUCUCUCAUCUAUGACCUCUAGGUGUUUCAAACCUGUCUUCUACAACCUCUAGGUGUUAUAAACCUCUCCUCUACAACCUCUAGGUGUUGUAAACCUCUCAUCUAUGACCUCUAGGUGUUGUAAACCUCUCCUCUACAACCUCUAGGUGUUAUAAACCUCUCCACAACCUCUAGGUGUUUCAAACCUCUCCAGGACCUCUAGGUGUUUCAAACCUCUCCAGGACCUCUAGGUGUUUCAAACCUUUCUAGGACCUCUAGGUGUUUCAAACCUCUCCAGGACCUCUAGGUGUUUCAAACCUUUCUAGGACCUCUAGGUGUUUCAAACCUUUCUAGGACCUCUAGGUGUUUCAAACCUCUCCUCUAGGUGUUCCAAACCUCUCCUCUAGGACCUCUUGUUGCAGCCCUGACCUAGCACACUUGAUUCAAAUAGUCAAGGGCUUGAUGAUUGGUUGACAAGUUGAAUCAGGUGUUCUAGCUCUGGAAUAGUUCAAAUACAUGGAACGGCUGGAGAACCCAGAGGAGAGGUUUGAGAACGGCUGGAGAACCCAGAGGAGAGGUUUGAGAAUGGCUGGAGAACCCAGAGGAGAGGUUUCAGAACGGCUGGAGAACCCAGAGGAGAGGUUUGAGAACGGCUGGAGGUCCCAGAGGAGAGGUUUGAGAACGGCUGGAGAACCCAGAGGAGAGGUUUGAGAACGGCUGGAGAACCCAGAGGAGAGGUUUGAGAACGGCUGGAGGUCCCAGAGGAGAGGUUUGAGAACGGCUGGAGGUCCCAGAGGAGAGGUUUGAGAACGGCUGGAGAACCCAGAGGAGUGGUUUGAGAACGGCUGGAGAACCCAGAGGAGAGGUUUGAGAACGGCUGGAGGUCCCAGAGGAGAGGUUUGAGAACGGCUGGAGAACCCAGAGGAGAGGUUUGAGAACGGCUGGAGGUCCCAGAGGAGAGGUUUGUGAAUGGCUGGAGGUCCCGGGGGAGAGGUUUGAGAACGGCUGGAGGUCUCGGAGGAGAGUUUUGGAACGGCUGGAGAACCCGGAGGAGAGGUUUGGAAAAGGCUGAGCUAUAUGUUUGCCAAACAACUUUACAUGUCUGUUUCACACACAGGAAGGUAUUGCAGUUGAAUCACAAUUCAUGUUGAUUAAAACAAAUGAUAAUGAAA